rnacentral:rRNA from 1 species
CCUACGGGUGGCAGCAGUGGGGAGUAUUGCACAAUGGGGGAAACCCUGAUGCAGCGACGCCGCGUGAAGGAAGAAGGUUUUCGGAUCGUAAACUUCUAUCAGCAGGGAAGAAGGAAGUGACAGUACCUGACUAAGAAGCCCCGGCUAACUACGUGCCAGCAGCCGCGGUAAUACGUAGGGGGCAAGCGUUAUCCGGAAUCACUGGGUGUAAAGGGUGCGUAGGCGGUAGGGCAAGUCAGAUGUGAAAGCCCGGGGCUCAACCCGGGGGUUGCAUUUGAAACUGUCUUACUAAGGUGCAUAAUAGGAAAGAGGUAUUCCUAGUGUAUCAGUGAUAGGCGUAGUUAUUUGAAAGACCCCACGAGGCUAAGGCGGCGUUCUGGAUUUUAACCUAAUCUGAGGCAUGAAUGCUUGGUGAGCGAGCAGGAUUAGAUACCCUGGUAGUC